rnacentral:misc_RNA from 1 species
AAGUCGUAACAAGGUUUCCGUAGGUGAACCUGCGGAAGGAUCAUCAGUGUAUCUGGUUAUCUCACCCUUUGUGCCGUGUCCUUGCGGUGGGUUCGCCGCAUGUUUAUUUGCAACGCCUGAGCCUGAUCUGUCGAUUUUAAGAACACACACACAACUUUUAACAACGGAUCUCUUGGUUCUC